CAGAGGGGGCAAGCGUUGUUCGGAAUUACUGGGCGUAAAGGGCGCGUAGGUGGCCCGCUAAGUCGAACGUGAAAUCCCCGAGCUCAACUCGGGAACUGCGUCCGAUACUGGCGGGCUUGAAUCCGGGAGAGGGAUGCGGAAUUCCAGGUGUAGCGGUGAAAUGCGUAGAUAUCUGGAGGAACACCGGUGGCGAAGGCGGCAUCCUGGACCGGCAUUGACGCUGAGGCGCGAAAGCUAGGGGAGCAAACGGGAUUAGAUACCCCGGUAGUCCUAGCCCUAAACGAUGAAUGCUUGGUGUGGCGGGUAUCGAUCCCUGCCGUGCCGAAGCUAACGCAUUAAGCAUUCCGCCUGGGGAGUACGGUCGCAAGGCUG
rnacentral:rRNA from 1 species